rnacentral:lncRNA from 1 species
UUAAAAAAUAAAGUGUUCAGUGGACAAUUCCUUCUCUUGAUAUGGAGGUUUUUAGGUCUCUGGAGGGGGGCCUUCUUUCUUUCUGGAUCAAGGUUAGUUUUCGUUUGUGAAUCUUUCUCCCAUGCAUAAUUUGUUGGUCAACAACCACAACUCAAUAUAAUUCAUUCUUUAAAUUCACUUAUUUCAAUCAUGCCUCAACUAAUUCAGCAAAACUCAACUAAUUCACUAACCACAACUCUCUUUCUGUCCGGAGGGAAUCAUUGUUUAUCAAUCAAUCAUGCCUCAAUUGGAUAAAUUUACUUAUUUCACACAAUUCUUCUGGUCAUGCCUUUUCCUCUUUA